GAAUAAGCACCGGCUAACUACGUGCCAGCAGCCGCGGUAAUACGUAGGGUGCAAGCGUUGUCCGGAUUUAUUGGGCGUAAAGGGCUCGUAGGCGGUUCGUCGCGUCUGGUGUGAAAGCCCGCUGCUUAACGGUGGGUUUGCGUUGGAUACGGGCGGGCUUGAGUGCAGUAGGGGAGACUGGAAUUCUCGGUGUAACGGUGGAAUGUGUAGAUAUCGGGAAGAACAC
rnacentral:rRNA from 1 species